UACGGGGGGAGCAAGCGUUGUUCGGAUUUACUGGGCGUAAAGGGCGCGUAGGCGGCCUGUGCAAGUCAGUUGUGAAAUCUCCGAGCUUAACUCGGAACGGUCAACUGAUACUGCUCGGCUAGAGUGCGGAAGGGGCAACUGGAAUUCCUGGUGUAGUGGUGAAAUGCGCAGAUAUCAGGAGGAACACCGGUGGCGAAGGCGGAUCUCUGGGCCUUACCUGACGCUCAGGUGCGAAAGCUAGGGGAGCGAACAGG
rnacentral:rRNA from 1 species